GAUGAAGAACGCAGCGAAAUGCGAUAAGUAAUGUGAAUUGCAGAAUUCCGUGAAUCAUCGAAUCUUUGAACGCACAUUGCGCCCUCUGGUAUUCCGGGGGGCAUGCCUGUCCGAGCGUCAUUGCAAACCCUCAAGCCCGGCUUGUGUGAUGGGUCCCGCCGCCCCGGCGGGCCCUAAAGUCAGUGGCGGUGCCGUCCGGCUCCGAGCGUAGUAAUUCUUCUCGCUCUGGAGGUCCGGUCGUGUGCUCGCCAGCAACCCCCAAUUUUUUUCAGGUUGACCUCGGAUCAGGUAGGGAUACCCGCUGAACUUAAGCAUAUCAAUAAGCGGAGGA
rnacentral:misc_RNA from 1 species